GUGAUAGUCUUCGAUAAAGUGCGCCUGCAGCGGCCUUGACUGAUAACCUAUCUUUCCAUUACUUACUGCAGCCGAAGAAAAGAAACGGAUAUGUUGGGCAACAUUUCUGAACGGCCGGAGGACGACGUCGGCGAUUUGGAUGGCGAUAGCAAGGAAGUUGUUGAAGUGCCGCUCAAAACGCUUAGGACAGCUGUCUGCGCUAAUAGCGAAGGCGGACUUAGGCGAAGACGCAACGAUAGGACCACCGACUGAAGGCCGCCUGAUGGAGAGAUAUUGUUUAUUGCAUCCGGCUAACUUGUUGCUGUUUGUGGGUCACCUGCGACGGUAUGGCGGUAUGACCGUAGAUGACAGAUUAACAGCAGAAAGAAACAACGAUAUCGUUACUGGGUAAGGCCGAAUUGCUUGAGAGUGUCAGAUCAGGUAGAAGAAGGACAGGAAGGAGAUCGUCCUUAUAGCAUUACGUCAUCAUGUGGAUUCCCAUACCAGUAGGAAGUGUGCCUUAAACACACAACCAGUCAGAAAGGGCCUUGACCAUUGUUUCUGCCGUUAAUUCUUCUGUGGCCUAGUAGUCUGAGUUUGGUUCUCGUGUAGAAUACAGGACUAAUCGUACAAUGACGACGAGAUGUACGAAAUAGUGUUCUUACGUGCUAUUCAAGUACUUUCUACCUGCUAAGAGAAUUGUAAAGCAAGUGGUCAGUUUAAUAUAUUGUAGGACACGAGAAAAAAGGACGAUUUUUCUAUCAUCAUAUGCUGGAGAAAACUGAUUUUUUUUAGGAAAAAAUCAUACCGCAUCACAAAGUGUCUGGCUAUUUGUCCAGGUCAGAGUAAUUAUAACGUGAAAAACUUCAUAAGAACGCUUAACGCUAUUUGAGAAUAGAUUGGCAGCUUAGCAAAUCCACUCUAAUUAUUACUUCCACAAUAUCGUGUAUUCCUCGCGUAGCUCGUGUAUUCCUUUUCUAUGCUUUAAGCCAUUAUCCUAUCUAAACAGUCGUAUCGUUUGAGUAAUUCCGUCAGUUUGUUUUAGUUAUUUAGUGAUCCUGACUUCAGAUACUUUACUAUCAUGCUCUAGCUUCCAUGUGUAUUUAUAGGACUUCGGAUUUUAAAAUCGUUUGUAAUAAUUAGAACCGUCGAGGCGACACGGAAAUAAGUA